GCCCACAAGAAAAUAAUUGCGAAUGCAUGCUGGUUUUGUCAGAUCUCAGAAGCUAUUUGGGGUUGAGCCUGGUUAGUUCUUGGAUGGGAGACUGCCUAGGAUUACCGAGUGCUGUGGGCU
rnacentral:rRNA from 1 species